GAUGAACGCUAGCGGCAGGCUUAACACAUGCAAGUCGAGGGGCAGCAUGAGACGGAGAUUCGUCGAAGUCUUGAUGGCGACCGGCGCAAGGGUGCGUAACGCGUGAGCAACUUGCCCGUUUCUGGGGAAUAACCGGUGGAAACGCCGACUAAUACCCCAUAGUAUCAGGUUUAGGCAUCUUUAUCUGAUUAAAGAAUUUCGGAAACGGAUAGGCUCGCGUGACAUUAGCUAGAUGGCGGGGUAACGGCCCACCAUGGCAACGAUGUCUAGGGGUUCUGAGAGGAAGGUCCCCCACACUGGAACUGAGACACGGUCCAGACUCCUACGGGAGGCAGCAGUGAGGAAUAUUGGUCAAUGGUCGGAAGACUGAACCAGCCAAGUAGCGUGAAGGAUGAAGGUUCUAUGGAUUGUAAACUUCUUUAUACGGGAAUAAACCACCUACGUGUAGGUGCUUGUAUGUACCGUAUGAAUAAGCAUCGGCUAACUCCGUGCCAGCAGCC
rnacentral:rRNA from 1 species